GAAGCAUAAAAUUUGGCUGGCGUUGGACAGUACAAUACUGGGCACAGUACAACCUAACGGUUUAAUUUGUUUUUUGUAGCAAAAUGGUUUAAGUUUUAUAUCUGAAUGAAUUAUUGUUUUGUUUUCUUUGUUUACAGAUCAUUACUGAACAUGCUGAUGAAAUAUUGAUUUAUAAAAUAUCAUGUUACCAAGAUGACAUGCCUCGACGAGCAAUACAGGAGGAAAUACAUCUAUUUCUAAUCAAAUUACAACAAUACACCAAAGACAGUAAUUAUGAUCACGAAGCUAUGAAUUUAAAGAAAAUGUACCAAACAACAAAGACGAUGAUGAAAUUGGAUGCCUCGGAUGAAAUGAAAGGAUUGAUCAAAUGUCCAUGGUCAGCAGUGGAUAUUUGUGACUAUAAUAAAUGGAUACAAAGAAACUAUGAUGGAUAAAUAUGGCCCCGUAAUGGACAUACAGUUAAUGGACAUACAAAGGUCACAGAAAUGUCUACUUUCAGGUACUGUUCUUUCUUGUUUGCCUGCGAACAGGCUGUAGAUACUUGUAUCCAGGCCGUCCAUUGUUUGUUUUGUUGUUCUGGGUACAAUGAAAUCCGGCAUAAAUCCUGGCGGUCUAAAUGUUCAGUAUAUUUACACAUUCGAUCUAUUUUCUGUUCAGUAGACUUUGAUAGCUUCAACGAAAGUUUAUAACGAUGAUUUUCUUUGCAAAAACUGUACUUUCGAAAUUCGUCAGCUUCUGAAUUUGAAAACCGAUCUGAAAAAAAAGAGGGAACAUUUGAG